rnacentral:rRNA from 1 species
UACGGAGGAUGCGAGCGUUAUCCGGAUUUACUGGGUGUAAAGGGAGCGUAGACGGCAAGGCAAGUCUGGAGUGAAAGCCCGUGGCCCAACCACGGGACUGCUCUGGAAACUGUGUUGCUGGAGUGCAGGAGGGGUAAGCGGAAUUCCUACUGUAGCGGUGAAAUGCGUAGAUAUUAGGAGGAACACCGGUGGCGAAGGCGAUUUGCUGGGCCAUCACUGACGCUGAGGUACGAAAGCGUGGGGAGCAAAUAGG